UCCCUUGUGGCUCAGUUGGUAAAGUGUCUGCCUACAAUGUGGGAGACCCAGGUUCGAUCCCUGGGUUGGGAA
rnacentral:tRNA from 1 species